rnacentral:misc_RNA from 1 species
AUAAUGUCUUCAAGAUCUAGAUCAAAUUCAUCAUCCCUGUUCAGUCUAUUAUGUGGAGCAUGUCUGAUUGAGUGUUGAGAAGGAACAACUUCCUCACUUUCCACAGAAGACCUAAGAGAUUGAACAGCAGCAGAAUCAUAUUCAACCUCCCCUGGAGCAACACUGGUACUUGAAGAACUUAAGUCUAGUCUUUUCUGCAUUCUCUCUUCUUCAUCCUGAAUUUCCUGCUGCCGCAUCCUAAUUUUUGCUUCUAUAACACGUUGUUCUUCAAUUUGCUCCAUGCCCUUUUCCUCUUUUGAUUUCACACCUCGAUACUCCACAGCAUAAUUUGAGGUUUUGCAAAAAGGACAUUGAGUAGGACGAGUUGAAUUAGGAAUUUUCAUCUGCAGAAAACAC